GGAGAGGUGCCGGAGUGGUCGAACGGGCACGACUGGAAAUCGUGUACCCCGACAAAAUCGGGGUCGGGGGUUCGAAUCCCCCCCUCUCCGCCC
rnacentral:tRNA from 1 species